GACAGAGGGUGCGAGCGUUGUCCGGAAUCACUGGGCGUAAAGGGCGCGUAGGUGGCGACCCAAGUCGAUGGUGAAAGCUCGCCGCUCAACGGCGAGUCGGCCACCGAUACUGGGUUGCUGGAGCACUGUAGAGGCAGAUGGAAUUCCGGGUGUAGCGGUGGAAUGCGUAGAGAUCCGGAAGAACACCGGUGGCGAAGGCGGUCUGCUGGGCAGUUGCUGACACUGGAGGUGCGACGAGCGUGGGGAGCAAACAGG
rnacentral:rRNA from 1 species